ACAGUCUAUUUGGCCAAACCACUUAUCCUCGGAGUACUCAGCCUCCCAACCUGGAAGUCUGGGAAGGGGAGCAGAAGAACCCCCCACAGUUCAGGUGGAAACAGUUAGAGACCUGCUGCUCCACUUGGACUGUCACAAGU